rnacentral:miRNA from 1 species
AAAACCCGAACAAACUUCUUGAU